UACAGAGACUGCAAGCGUUAUUCGGAUUCACUGGGCGUAAAGGGUGCGCAGGCGGCCGGGUGUGUCAGAUGUGAAAUCCCGAGGCUUAACCUCGGAACUGCGUCUGAAACUACUCGGCUAGAGUACUGGAGAGGGUAACGGAAUUCACGGUGUAGCAGUGAAAUGCGUAGAUAUCGUGAGGAACACCAGAGGCGAAGGCGGUUGCCUGGACAGUUACUGACGCUCAGGCACGAAAGCAUGGGGAGCAAAAGGG
rnacentral:rRNA from 1 species